CCUUUGCGUGCCCUAUUGAACAUGAACCAGGUGUAGGCUAAAUGUAGCAUCGUUUUUUACCCCUCAGAUCCCGUGGUCAGCAGAAACCGACUGGCCUAAACAGUUUAAACAUCUGUGUUUUUUGAGACAUUCAUUCUGCUGGCUUUAAUCACUUCAAGUGUACAAACCUCUACGGUACCAACCGGAGAAACAUUCCCUUCUAAAAAAUGUAAAAUAAAAACAGACUUCAAUCAAAAUAUUAAAUCAAACAACAAGUUUGAUUGAAUAUUUUGACGAAGCGAUAGAAAUGCCCUGCCCGUGUCUGUAACUGCAUUGUGUAUGUUUCUGCAUGAGUGACAUAAUAUAUUGUUCAACGGUUGUUAUCCUAAAUAUGGGUUAAUAUGGUAACUGCAGAAUAAGCUGGUUACAUCUUUUGAUCACCUUGUCCAAACAGAACUAAAGCAAUUGAAUGGGUUAUGGGAAAAGAGAGACAGAUGAGUGAGCGCGAGCGAGAGAGAGAUGAGUGAGAGGUGCUUCGGAGCAAGCAGCACUCAGGGAGAAGGGAACUGUAAUUAUUAUAUUCACCCCAAGGGCACAACGGCCACAGGCUGCAAAAGGUAUGGAUUUUUUUACGAGGAUUAUGGCCACACAAAGGGGAUGCAGCCGGGAUAUUUGAGGCAUUAUCAAGUGCUUGUCAAAUUGUGACAGAUGAAGUGUGUUCAACCUACGCAAAAAACAUACAACUUUUCAUACUUUUUUCAAAUCAUCAUUAGAGUCGCAUCAUGCAGCCUUAGAAUGCAUUGAAAAUCCAAACAUACAGCCCAACAUUGGUAGAACAACUGAAUUAAGCAUACAGGAGUACCCAGCCCUAGCGUACACACACACACACACACACACACACACACGCACACACAUAGCCCCCCUCCUCACACAAACACACACACACAAACUCUCUCAUACAAACUCUCAAACACACAAAUACACACAAACACACCCACCGGUCUGAGGAACUGUGCAGUCUACUGUGAGGGAUGUGUGUGUGUGAGUGUGUCUCCGUGUGUUGUCAGAAAGGUGAAAUAAACUAGUCCAGUUUUGUCCCUGGCAGCAGAAAGCCUAUCCAUAGCGCCACGCUGCUAAUACACCAAUCAAUAGCUAUUACAUU
rnacentral:lncRNA from 13 species